GCAGAGAGACUAGAUAGAUAAUUACGUACCUAAAAACUUAUUUCUGCACACAUCUUCCAGUUAGUUAAGGUCCCCUUACCCUCGUUGGGUGAUGCUUUCUCUCCAGCAUAAUGCAGGGCAACAUAAUUAGUAAAGAAAUAUCAACAGGUUGCAUAAAAAAAGUCCUCAUAUGUCAAGAGCUUUAGGACUGUUUCUCCAGCUUUUGCUCAUGCCUGAAGUUUCCUUGCACGCUCCACAUGACAGGAACAUGACACGGCCAUUCUGAAAGCAUCUGCUCCUGUCUCUCUUCAAAAGGCGCUUUUGCCAUGAUGAAAAGCACCCUGUUGUUUUGUUUUUUUCAGGAAAUCUCAGAGCUGCCUUGAAGAUAUUUCUGUUGAACCUUCAAUGAAAACUAAACCUGCCCCUUCAGUAGCUGCCUCCUGCCUGAACUCUCACCUUGGCUUGCAAAGCGCAGGGCAAACCUGAGCUGACAGAUGGUGCAGGGAAACCUUCCUGGGCUGUCCUUGGGGCACCUGCUGGUAGCUACUGCUGGAGACAAAACUCUUGACAGACCUUCAUCUAAACAGCAGGGUCAGCUAGACCGAGUUGCCCAGGACCAGGUUCUGAACACCUCCAGGGAUGAAGCCUCUACAGCCUUUCAGGGCAACCUGUGCCAGUGUUUGACCACCCUCGCAGUGUCCUUGCAGAAGUAACAUGUAACACUCUGAAUAUGUGGAAUGGAGAUCUUCAUGUCAAGUAGUAUUUCCUGCACUGUGUCUUGUACUGGCCUGCGAAAGAAGGAAAGUUUUCAAGGCAAGAGGUUGUUUUCUGAAAGCUACAAGUAUUUCAGCUGUUAGACUUCCAUGAAAAGAAGCAGACAAAAAAAAAAAAGAGUAAUUUUUUACAAUUGCAUUGGGAAAACACUCUCAAGUACAAGACAGUUUCUGGAGACUGGGAAAAUCUGAAUCUUGAAGAUAGGCUUCAUGGGUCAAGAGGAGGAGACAGAGGACCCCGAGCUGGCUCCUCCAAGCUGUGGUGCUUUCCUAGUUCAGCAGAACCCCAAACAGAUACAGCUGUGUUGGGAUUCUGGGUGGUGCCUGGCCUGAGGAGAUAAUUGCUGACAGCUGGAUGCAUUCAGUCCCACCCUGAUGCAGCUACUCCGCUUCUUUCCACAGCCAAUUAACACAUCCCCUCAGAUUUGGUUUAAGCUCAAACAAGAAGUAAAAAUACCCAAAUACAACUAAAGCUUCCUGAUCCCUGGAAGGAAAGAUCCUGCAGACCAUCUCUGCUGCAUUAUCUGAAGGUAAGUCCAGCCCGUCCUGGUAAUCCUGAGUCCAGACCGGGCAGAACAAGUAUUUGUGUCUGCUGCAAUAGCUGCACCAGUAGUGGAUAUUUCUGUAGAAUAAAUAAAUCCUUCCUUCAUUUCAGCAGCAGGACCACUAACCUUUCUGUACUGUCUGUUUGCUCCUUGCACAAAGCAGGGGCUGCCUCCUUCUACAUCCCUGACCUUUCCUCAGUGUCUCUCUAUUUGUUGCUUCUGUCCUUUUUAAAAAGCCUCUUAUUGAUGUUUUUAAACUGAUGGUGGAACAUAAACAAGUAAUAAAGAAAGGUUAACAAUACUGAAUCGAUACUAUGGAGAGAGGCGUUAGGGAGAUGAAAUUGAGGAGGUUGACUGUGAAGGAAAUCAAAAGGCCAAAUUUAAUCACAGUGCUGCUGGUAAUUAAAUUACGUUUUGGGUUGUUGUGUUUUGUUUUUUUUUUUCAAAAAAAGAAGAACUAAUGAAAGCACAGACUGGUAUAGUGUUUCAGAAAAGGCAAAGCACCUGAAUGGAAACUCUGACCAAAGACUUUUUCAUAUCCUUGCUAAGAAGAGAAUGAGCUAUUCCACAUCAUUGUGGUAUUGUUCUGACUGCAAAGGAAAGGAAAAUGUGCUUGAUGUUAAACUGGGGGAGUUCUGAAAAUAUGGGCUUAGAUCUGCUGCCAACUGGUGUUUCCCCCAAACUCCAGCAAAUUCUGGCUAUAGCUGUGAUCCUGACACAGUGUGAGAUUCACAACCAACUCAUUUUUUUUAGACAGACCCACUUCUUGCCUUGCAUUUCAGGGCUAGAGAGGUUGCACAACACAUCUGAAUAGGUUAGCUUGUAGUGGUGAGACUGCCACAUCUGCUCCUGAGUUUCCAGAGCGUGUCUCUGGAUAAGAUACAACUGGAAAACACAGGCUUGUGAUUUUUUUGGGGAGCAGGGCUGUUGUUUUGCAGGGCUUAGUAUUUUUUAUUUUACUCCUUGCUAAUGAUCUUGUGUAGUGGUCUCCUCAGUAAGGCAUUCAAAGGCUCAGAUGCUAAUGAGCAGGUCUCUCUCAUUAUGGCAGGCAAAGCUGUAUAAUGGGAGCAAGAAAAAGCAUUAGUUAACAUAAACAAAGGAAGAAUACUGGGGAUGGGGGAGUGAGGAGUGACUGUGUUUGUCAAAACUGGCAUUGUGGCCAUCCAGAAGCAGCUUUGAGUAAGAGGUUGCCAAGUUUAGUUUGUGUGCUGCCUGCGGCCUCCAGAUUUCAGAUGAAAGGUGCCAAACGUGAAAAGAAUGAGAUAUCCAUAAACCAAUCCCUGUUAGGCUCUAUAAUUGGAAAAAUGCUAGUUGCUUGCCCUCCGCCAGCUGCCAUUCACUUUCCUUCCCCCUUGUCUUUCUCAUUCUGCCUCCUUCCGUGGGAGCUGAUGAGAUUGUUUCUCUGCUCAGUAGCAGCAUCAGCCUCUAUGUGCAAGGCAAGACCAUCUAAUUGCUUUCCUUCCCUUGACUUUGGGCAAGCAUGGCAGCUGGCUGUGGCAACAAGUCUGUCACAUGGGCUUUUUGUAAUGUUUCUGCUACCUUCACAGCCUGGCUGUGUAAUUAACUGGGAGUGGGAGGGAGGGAGCGAGCGAGCCACUAAUGUGAACACUGGAUUUACAACAGAACAACCUGGAGAGCUGUCUGAUUUGUAUUUGUUUUUUUCUUUCCAUCAAGUUUUUUUCUUUGCCAAAAAACUUUUUGUGGCAAGGCACUGACCCCUAUAUUGUAUAUUGUACCAAUGGCCUACAGGAGAGGGUGGAUUGGCAAGGAUGUGCUCACAGAUCUAGCUGGGAAUUAGUAAGAUGCUGUAUAAUACAACAAAAUGUACCUGAGCUACAGAUAAAGCAUUUAUGUCAAAUACAGGAUAUUAAGGUUGCCCAGCAAGGAUCUGUAGAGCUGCUGCUUCUACUAAAACAAAGGGCAGUGGCCACAGAUUUCAGCUUGGGCAGUUCAGCUGGGACAGCAGGCAAAAUUUCUUCACAAGGAGGUGCCUGCAGCACAGGAACAGGUCACCAGAUGUGGUGGAUCUCUGUUGUUGGCAACUUUCUAGGCUUGCCUGUGUGAGGCCACAGCUGGUCUGCUCUAGUGUUGGUGAAAGUCCUACUUUGAGUAGGAGGUUGGACCACAGACCUCCACAGGCCCCUUCCCACCAGCAUUUUUGUGAUUAUUUUGAUGGAAAAUGCUGUUCCAGGAAGCACUGAAAAUAUUUCUGACUUAAAGCUCUUAAAACAAUUGAUGAUGUUGUGGUGUCCACCACUUAGCAGAGAAAGACAAGGCCUGUUUCUGGAGUGGAUACCACAACCUUUUAAAUUGAGGGAUAUGAGGAGAGUCAGGCUUGACACAUGGUGUUUGAUGCUUCUUUAUGGCAGGGACACUCAGCUCCUCCAUUGAAUGUGAACAGAAGUACCUUCUGCUCUGCAGAAUUUGUGCUGAGGAAAGGCAGAGUGGGACGAACUGAUGUUUGAUCUGCUUCAAAAAGAAAAUGUUCCUUUUCCGAAUUUGGCAGCAUGCGUCCUGAACUCUCGCCUCUGACACAGGGCAGAUUUAUGCAAUUACUUUAAAUAUUUAGCACCAUAACCCAUUCCACAAAGAUGCAUUAUUACUUUUUAACAAACAUUAAAGUUUAAAACCAGAAUAAAAGCCUUGCCUCAUACCAAAAGUGCUUGUCCUUCGGACAAACAGGAUAUGUACCACCUCAUGUGUCUAAAAAUAUAAAGAAACUCUUAAAAUUCCAUUGUUUUUUCCAAAAUAGUAAAUGAAAUAUUAAAAAUGCACUUUCUGUGGCAUUAGUUUUGAUUUUGUUGGUGCCAGGGCUUUUUGUGGGGAGAUGUUUGCUAAUAACAGUUGGAGGCAGGCAGAACACUGGGAAGGAAACAUCUCGCAGACUUGCAUUGUUCCUUCUGUUCUGUAAGACUUGUUCUCCUCUUUUCAAAUGCAACUUUUAAACAAACCUGAUCCAUCAUUUCUGUGCUUGAUGGAGGGAGAUAUAUUUUUAUUGGGGCUGAUCAUGUUUGCAGAUUUCAGCAUAAAUUGUUCUGCAGGCUUUCACUGCAUUUGAAAUUGCGCUUUUUCUGCUAUUGCUGUACAAAGUAUUCCUUGGAGAAAAGUCACCCAACUUUAGUAGAGAUCGUAACUCACGGGAGAGACCUAUACAGCAAUUUCCAUUGGGAUCAGUAGGGCCCUGAGCAGUUGCCUGCUGUUGACGCAACGUUGCCAAAUGUCUCUUUGCUGCUUUAUAAAUGGCAAGACAUAUAGCUAGUUAUCAAAGUAAGAAAAAUGACUCAGCAGUGGAUUCUGUUUACUGUGAAUCAGAAGGAACAGAAAUCAGAGGAGCCUUUAUUUGGCAAUGUGGAUUAAGCAGCCUAUGUCUUGGCAUUAUCGCUGCCUGGAGCAAAGGCACCAGCUGACAGUUAGGAUGGUUCCUUUCUACACGUCACUGGCCUAGGGCCAGCUCGAUUGCCUUCUUCAUUUCAUACCACCAAAGUGUUUUGCUCUUCACAUUAAAAUUUGAAGCCUACAUUUUCCCUAGCAUAAAAAAAAAAUCCAAGGAGGUGCACUCAGGUCCCCAGAGACAGAGUAAUUCUACUCUAGUUUAAGAUCUGCUAAUGCAUUGAGGUCAUUAAUGUUUCAUGGUGGUUCCAUUUCUGCAUAUGCACAAAGCUUUUUACACCACCCUGGCUUUAAUGAACUCCUCCUGUUUCCCAGGAGGCCUUUGGAAUCAGAGAUGGUUUUCUCUAAUGAAAUGGCCCAGGCUCUUUGUUUUGAAGUUGUUUACAUAGUUAAUAGCCCCUUAAGGGGAAACAGCAGAAUAGAAGCCUGUAUGUAGAGAGUUGCUUCACAGAUAAAGUGCCUUGGAGAAAUAAAUCAUUGAGUUGUGGAGGGUUUGGACAUGGUUCUUUGGGUUCAAUUUCUGCCCUUCCUCCCCAAGCUAAGUGUUCAUCUCUACAAAGGUAAACAAAGCUCUGCCCAGAGGGAUUGGGAGGAGACCAAGAGGGAUAUAGUCCAUCCAACAGACCAUUUGUGCUUGUGCUUAACACAGGCCGUUUCUCUUUGCUAGAAGUUCUUAACGUAAUUUAGGGCAAUAAUCCUGGUUUGGAUAUUCGGGGUAGCACUAAUUCCAGUGUUUAUGGUCAGAACACCCCUCCCUAUCUCUUCUUGGAGAAAAACUUCAGCAUCUGAGCCACUCUGUUAUCAUUAAGUCCUUUUAUUUCAAAUGCACAUGUCAGUAAAUGAAACCGAAAGAGACGUUUGACCACCACAGUGAUGGCUCUGGCUUUUGUCCCUCUGUCUCUCUUUUAUCUGUAUGUAACUCAUCAAGCCAAUUUCCAUGACAAAUUCAGGAGUUCAUAUAGUGGAGGAAGGUGUAUAACAUUUAUAACUGUGGUUUCUGAUAGUUACCAUGGUGGUUGUUCAACCUAGAAAAUAAAUGAGUGGUCUGUUAUUUCUGAGACUGAAGCUUGAUUAAAGAAAACUAAAACAUCACGCACAGACAAAAAACCCAAAGAGGCAUUCAAAGCAUGAUUUGUGUAACUUGCCUGACGUAGUCUUGAUAUUAAAAUUGUACAAUAAAAUAUGCUUGGAGCAAAAUGAUCCAAAUUGUCAUUGUUACAAGGCUGAUAGUAAAAUGUCUAGGAAACCAGGAGGCUUCUGAUUAACAGCUGAAUGUUUGCGUUUUAAAAGAGAAGCAGUAGAAGGGAAGAGGAGUGGGACCAAGCUGCAUAUGCAGAGAAGUGUCUUGUCAGAACAAAAGAAGAAAUGGACAGGCAGGAGUGAAGACAGUAGGACAUGCUGCCUCAAAAUUAGAGAGGAGGUGGGUUGUUUUCAAGAUAGAUAAGCUCUCACCAGGUUGGUAUAUUUUAAUCAGUCCUCUGUAGGCUAUCCCUGCUGCUAUGUGUGUUCAUUUGAAAGUCCCAGCUGAUGUGGCACAGGUUUUCUAAAUAUCUCAGGCAACUGGAAGCCAAAAGACCAAGAGGUCUUUUACAGGCGACCCAGUCCCCUGUAGGGAACUGCAAGUAGAUUUUAAAAGUAACAAAUUAUCAUAUUUAUUCACAAUAUUACUUUUUUUUUUUUUUUUUUUUUUUGAAAUGCAGAGUAGGGGGGAAAAAAAGUAGAGCACAGACACACAAGAUGCUUCUUGCUUAAACCCAUUUGGCCACAAGAGGCUUGGGGUUCCUCACAAGCACUUCAUGUACCCUGGCACAUCAGUCAUUGGAAAUGAGGCUCUGGUUUCUGAUUUGCAGUUUUCUGCUUGUCAUGCAGUCAGCUUGUGCAGGCAAUUUCAAAUGGUCUGUACACCUUGCUUGACUUAACUGGGAAUGAGCUGGAACAACUGCAGAGCUCUUGGAUUCAGCUGGUGCUUCCCAGAUGGUUGGCUGGGCAGGCGGAUGAGGCAUGGGCUGCUGAGCCAUGCCAUUUUAAAUCAUUUUACUUGUUAGUUUUGACCCAAACUAGCAGGAAGAGGUAAUUCUACCUGACGCAGAGAGGUCUGGAUGGCAUUUUCUAAGCUUUGGCAUCACUUUCUGUGUGAUUGAUGCCGAAUCAUGACUAAAGAAUGGAGAAGGGCUUCUGUUUCAUGACUCUUAGCUCAAGCUGCCACAUGAUGCUGUAAGUUUGCUCCGCCCUCUCUUCGCCAGACUAUCUAGUGCUUUGAUCCUAGGGUAAGAAAUAUGAAGCUAUUUUAUCUUCUCUGGAGGCUUCAAUGCAUUUAGGUAAAUCAGUGCCUGUCACUUCAGUUUUACAGCCAGUGCCAGCACUGUGCCAGGCUUAUCCACAGCAGAAUCCCAUUGGAUCAUUGUAAGUCAUUUUCAGUGAGCGGGGAGUUCACCUAAAGCUGGGUUAGCCAAAAAGCCAUUGGAAUGCAUGAAUACAACUUCGUGGAGCCGAUGAGUUCAUGAACAACAGUAGAUGUUUGCCAAGCCGGUUAUUUAUAAAAGCCCAUGGAGAGGUCAUCUUUUUGUAGCAAGCGCCUCAAUUGCAGAUAGGAACAGGUGAAGUAGAGGGAAAAUAUGAAUGCAAAUAAUAUUUUUAAAUAAUAGCUACUUAUAUUUCCAUUUGUUUUAAAUUUUCCACAGUUCUAAAUAGCAGACAAGUAAAUGAACUCAGAGGUUUUCUGAUUUAUUCAUCUAUUUAUGUAAAGUUCUUUUUUUUCCCCUCACAAAAAAAGAAAUAUCCCAGAUUGUGGUUAUUGAAUUGCAAGAAGCAGUGUGCACAGGUACUGUCUAAUUAGCACUAAUUGAACAAUAGAAAGGACUGCUACAUUUUAAUCAGAAACCAAGACUUCACCACAGAAAACUUUUAAUUAUGGGGAAAGCUCUUAAGUCAUGGCUUGCAGGUUACACCAUCACACGCUAAGUAACUAAAGAGCACAGUCUGUUCUGUCAAGUAAUGAUCCAUAAUUUUUUCUCUGCUUGGGGAAGGAAAAAAAAAUCAACUUCUAAAGUAUGCAAUGAGCAUUUACUGAAGGGAAAAGGAAGAAUAAGUGUUCCAUUCACACACCAGAUGUUCCCAUUAAACAAUCGUUUUCAAGAAAGCUCAGCUCAUGUGGAAAGAGAAAGCUCUGGAGUUCAGAAGGUGGAAACAGUGAAAAAAGUUAACUUGUAAAAUAAGGGCAGCUGCUGAAGAUAUCGUU